rnacentral:lncRNA from 1 species
GGAAAUCUCUCUCCUGAUGUCACAGAGUAUGCAGAAGCUAACAGCUUGGUGAAUGAUGCCUCGAUGGAGAAAAUCUUCACUCAAGAAAGCUAGAUGAUCAGCCUUUUUCCAAGGAAAAACGCAGCUUGCAUUCUCCCUCUUGUUCUCGUUUCUUCUGUUUUCUUUUUUUUUUAGCCCAGCCGCCAACCUCAGCUCUCUCUAUUUCUUGGUUUUUCCUCUCACCGAAGCUCCCUGUUUUUCCAAAUUUUUUUUCCCUUUUUCUGUUGUUUCUUUUUUUCUAU